AUGAACUGCAGUGGCGUAUUCUAUAGUAUAUUAUUAUUAGCAAGAUACAUAUUAGUCCCAAAUAUAUCAAAUGAUUUAAUGACUACAUUGGUAAACCCAUACACAAUUUAUUUUUACCUUACUAUGGUUGGGAUGAUGGUGCAAUGGAGGUUGGUGCUGCCACUGCAUUGCCACUUUGCUUGUGCCCAGGUCCAUUCCCGCUAUGACGCUGUGUUGGUAAUUGAAGAGAGAUUGUCAUUGGAGGAAGUCGCAUUAACAUGCGACGUGAAUUGGUUGCAUUUAGUUUCAUCCAAGCAGGGCAUGAACAAUGUGCACAAAGAUUGGUUCUACUUGGCUGUGAAUAUGGAGGCAUGGAAGGGGAUGACAUUGGCUGUGAAUACGGAGGCAUGGAAGUGGAUGACAUUUGCGUUGGAGAUGAGCUAG
rnacentral:rRNA from 1 species